GGACCCAUGGCGCAACGGUAGCGCGUCAGAUUCCAGUAACAUGUCUACAUGGAUCUUCUUCCUGUAGGGAUGGGAUUUCCUGAAGGUUAGGCGUUCGAAUCGCCUUGGGUUCA
rnacentral:tRNA from 1 species